rnacentral:rRNA from 1 species
AGCAGCCGCGGUAAUACGUAGGGGGCAAGCGUUGUUCGGAAUCACUGGGCGUAAAGGGAGUGUAGGCGGAAGGGUAAGUUAAGAGUUUAAGGCCCCGGCUUAACUGGGUGCACGCUCUUAAUACUGCUUUUCUUGAGUAUGGGAGAGGGUGAUGGAAUUCCAGGUGUAGCGGUGGAAUGCGUAGAUAUCUGGAAGAACACCAGUAGCGAAGGCGGUCACCUGGCCCAAUACUGACGCUGAGGCUCGAAAGUCGGGGGAGCGAACAGGAUUAGAUACCCUGGUAGUCCCGACCGUAAACGAUGGAUACUAGUUGCUGGGAGAGUCAAUCCUUUCAGUGACGAAGCUAACGCAUUAAGUAUCCCGCCUGGGGAGUACGCUCGCAAGGGUGAAACUCAAAGGAAUUGACGGGGGCCCGCACAAGCGGUGGAGCAUGUGCUUUAAUUCGAUGCAACGCGAAGAACCUUACCUGGGUUUGACAUGGGGAUGAAACUCUUCAGAGAUGAGGAGCCUUCCUUCGGGAACAUCCCGCACAGGUGCUGCAUGGUUGUCGUCAGCUCGUGUCGUGAGAUGUUGGGUUAAGUCCCGCAACGAGCGCAACCCCUGCCCUUAGUUGCCAGCGAGUAAUGUCGGGAACUCUAAGGGGACCGCCUGGACCAACCAGGAGGAAGGUGGGGAUGACGUCAAAUCAUCAUGGCCCUUACGCCCAGGGCUAGACACGUGCUACAAUGGCCGGCACAGAGGGCUGCGAAACGGCGACGUGGAGCUAAUCCCUUAAAACCGGUCUCAGUUCGGAUUGGAGUCUGCAAUUCGACUCCAUGAAGGU